AAACUUAUGAUUUUGGUCUAUAUCCAAAUCAAUCCUGAACUGAAAUCCGAAGCCGAAAACAAAACCAAAAUCAUAUAAAAACAUACUAUAUAUAAAAUACAAUUUUUAUAUAUUUUUAAUAAUUAAUAUAUUAAUAAUUUAAUUUAAUGUUUAGUAUAUUAAAUAAUCAAAUUUAGGUUUAUAAAAAUUAUCUUGAAAUAUCUAUUAGUAUUUCUACUGUUGAUAAGAGAUGAAGGGUAAAAAUGACAUUCUAAAAGUAUAACUCCAUUUCACAGGAAUCUUAACGGAACUUAACUAAUGAAGAGCAUUUAUGAUAAUUUUUGAUAUAUUUGAUGGCAUUCGUGAUAUUAUCACUUUUAGAAGGGUAUUAAUGAAAUUCAUAGUCCCUAGAAGGGCAUCUAUGAAAUUAUCCCUUUUUUUUUUAUAU
rnacentral:lncRNA from 1 species